UACGGAGGGUGCAAGCAUUAAUCGGAUUGACUGGGCGUAAAGGGUGCGUAGGCGGGCUUGUAAGUCAGAUGUGAAAUCCCAACACUCAAUGUUGGAACGGCAUUUGAAACUGCAAGUCUUGAGGGCAGGCGGAGAGAGGAGAAUUCCAUGUGUAGCGGUGAAAUGCGUAGAUAUAUGGAAGAACACCAGUGGCGAAAGCGCCUCUCUAGCUUGUUUCUGACGCUGAGGCACGAGAGUGUGGGGAGCAAACAGG
rnacentral:rRNA from 1 species